rnacentral:rRNA from 1 species
GUGGUGCAUGGUUGUCGUCAGCUCGUGUCGUGAGAUGUUGGGUUAAGUCCCGCAACGAGCGCAACCCUCGUUCUAUGUUGCCAGCACGUAAUGGUGGGAACUCAUGGGAUACUGCCGGGGUCAACUCGGAGGAAGGUGGGGAUGACGUCAAAUCAUCAUGCCCCUUAUGUCUUGGGCUUCACGCAUGCUACAAUGGCCGGUACAAUGGGCUGCAAUACCGUGAGGUGGAGCGAAUCCCAAAAAGCCGGUCCCAGUUCGGAUUGAGGUCUGCAACUCGACCUCAUGAAGUCGGAGUCGCUAGUAAUCGCAGAUCAGCAACGCUGCGGUGAAUACGUUCCCGGGUCUUGUACACACCGCCCGUCAAGUCAUGAAAGUCGGUAACACCUGAAGCCGGUGGCCUAACCCCUUGUGGGAGGGAGCUGUCGAAGGUGGGAUCGGUAAUUAGGACUU